rnacentral:rRNA from 1 species
GACGAACGCUGGCGGCGCGCUUAACACAUGCAAGUCGAACGGAAAGGCCUGCUUUCCCUUGUGGAUUGCGGGUACUCGAGUGGCGAACGGGUGAGUAACACGUGAGUGAUCUGCCCCCAACUUGGGUAUAAGCCUGGGAAACUGGGUCUAAUUCCCGAUAGGACUGCAGGGUGGUGCCUGUGGUGGAAAACGAUUUUCUAGUGGUUGGGGAUGAGCUCGCGGCCUAUCAGCUUGUUGGUGGGGUAAUGGCCUACCAAGGCGGCGACGGGUAGCCGGCCUGAGAGGGUGGACGGCCACAUUGGGACUGAGAUACGGCCCAGACUCCUACGGGAGGCAGCAGUGGGGAAUAUUGCACAAUGGGCGGAAGCCUGAUGCAGCGACGCCGCGUGGGGGAUGACGGCCUUCGGGUUGUAAACUACUUUCGACCGAGAGGAAGCCACCUGGUUGGAAGGGUGGUGACGGUAGUGGUAGAAGAAGCACCGGCUAACUACGUG